rnacentral:rRNA from 1 species
GACGAACGCUGGCGGCGUGCUUAACACAUGCCAGUCGAACGGAAAGGCCCUGCUUUUGUGGGGUGCUCGAGUGGCGAACGGGUGAGUAACACGUGAGUAACCUGCCCUUGACUUUGGGAUAACUUCAGGAAACUGGGGCUAAUACCGGAUAGGAGCUCCUGCUGCAUGGUGGGGGUUGGAAAGUUUCGGCGGUUGGGGAUGGACUCGCGGCUUAUCAGCUUGUUGGUGGGGUAGUGGCUUACCAAGGCUUUGACGGGUAGCCGGCCUGAGAGGGUGACCGGCCACAUUGGGACUGAGAUACGGCCCAGACUCCUACGGGAUGCAGCAGUGGGGAAUAUUGCACAAUGGGCGGAAGCCUGAUGCAGCAACGCCGCGUGCGGGAUGACGGCCUUCGGGUUGUAAACCGCUUUCGCCUGUGACGAAGCGUGAGUGACGGUAAUGGGUAAAGAAGCACCGGCUAACUACGUG